AAGAACCCCGGCGAGGGGAGUGAAAAAGAACCUGAAACCGUGUACGUACAAGCAGUAGGAGCCUCUUAAUGGGGUGACUGCGUACCUUUUGUAUAAUGGGUCAGCGACUUAUAUUCUGUAGCAAGGUUAACCGUAUAGGGGAGCCGUAGGGAAACCGAGUCUUAACUGGGCGAAUGAGUUGCAGGGUAUAGACCCGAAACCCGGUGAUCUAUCCAUGGGCAGGUUGAAGGUUGGGUAACACUAACUGGAGGACCGAACCGACUAAUGUUGAAAAAUUAGCGGAUGACUUGUGGAUGGGGGUGAAAGGCCAAUCAAACCGGGAGAUAGCUGGUUCUCCCCGAAAGCUAUUUAGGUAGCGCCUCGUGAAUUCAUCUUCGGGGGUAGAGCACUGUUUCGACUAGGGGGUCAUCCCGACUUACCAACUCGAUGCAAACUGCGAAUACCGAAGAAUGUUAUCACGGGAGACACACGGCGGGUGCUAACGUCCGUCGUGAAGAGGGAAACAACCCAGACCGCCAGCUAAGGUCCCAAAGUCAUGGUUAAGUGGGAAACGAAGUGGGAAGGCUCAGACAGCCAGGAUGUUGGCUUAGAAGCAGCCAUCAUUUAAAGAAAGCGUAAUAGCUCACUGGUCGAGUCGGCCCGCGCGGAAGAUGUAACGGGGCUAAACCAUGCACCGAAGCUGCGGCAGCGCACGUAUCGCUUAAA
rnacentral:rRNA from 1 species